UUAAGUUCAGCGGGUAUCCCUACCUGAUCCGAGGUCAACCAUAGAAAAUUGGGGGCUGUUGGCAAGCAUCCAUUUGGACCCUAUAGCGAGAGAAAUUACUACGCUUAGAGCCAGAUGGCGCCGCCACUGAUUUUAAGGGCUGCCAGUUGGCAGGCCCCAACACCAAGCUGAGCUUGAGGGGUUAUAAUGACGCUCGAACA
rnacentral:misc_RNA from 1 species